rnacentral:rRNA from 2 species
GAUGAACGCUGGCGGCGUGCCUAAUACAUGCAAGUCGAACGAGUUCUGAUUAUUGAAAGGUGCUUGCAUCUUGAUUUUAAUUUUGAACGAGUGGCGGACGGGUGAGUAACACGUGGGUAACCUGCCCUUAAGUGGGGGAUAACAUUUGGAAACAGAUGCUAAUACCGCAUAAAUCCAAGAACCGCAUGGUUCUUGGCUGAAAGAUGGCGUAAGCUAUCGCUUUUGGAUGGACCCGCGGCGUAUUAGCUAGUUGGUGAGGUAACGGCUCACCAAGGCAAUGAUACGUAGCCGAACUGAGAGGUUGAUCGGCCACAUUGGGACUGAGACACGGCCCAAACUCCUACGGGAGGCAGCAAUAGGGAAUCUUCCACAAUGGACGCAAGUCUGAUGGAGCAACGCCGCGUGAGUGAAGAAGGCUUUCGGGUCGUAAAACUCUGUUGUUGGAGAAGAAUGGUCGGCAGAGUAACUGUUGUCGGCGUG